UACGUAGGGUCCGAGCGUUGUCCGGAAUUAUUGGGCGUAAAGAGCUCGUAGGCGGCUCGUUGCGUCGGCUGUGAAAACCCGCAGCUCAACUGUGGGCCUGCAGCCGAUACGGGCGGGCUGGAGUUCGGUAGGGGAGACUGGAAUUCCUGGUGUAGCGGUGAAAUGCGCAGAUAUCAGGAGGAACACCGGUGGCGAAGGCGGGUCUCUGGGCCGAUACUGACGCUGAGGAGCGAAAGCGUGGGGAGCGAACAGG
rnacentral:rRNA from 1 species